rnacentral:rRNA from 1 species
GCGGUAAUACCAGCUCUCCGAGUGGUAGGGAUGAUUAUUGGGCUUAAAGCGUCCGUAGCCGGCUUAGCAAGUCUCCUGUUAAAUUCAGCGACUUAAUCGUUGAGCCGCGGGAGAUACUACUGGGCUAGGAGGCGGGAGAGGCCGACGGUAUUCUCGGGGUAGGGGUGAAAUCCUAUAAUCCCGG